rnacentral:rRNA from 1 species
AUUAGACGAAUCAUCUGGAAAGAUGAAUCAAAGAAGGUAAUAAUCCUGUAGUCGAAAAUGUUGUCUCUCUUGAGUGGAUCCUGAGUACGACGGAGCACGUGAAAUUCCGUCGGAAUCUGGGAGGACCAUCUCCUAAGGCUAAAUACUCUCUAGUGACCGAUAGUGAACCAGUACCGUGAGGGAAAGGUGAAAAGCACCCCGGAAGGGGAGUGAAAUAGAACCUGAAACCGUGUGCUUACAAGUAGUCAGAGCCCGUUAAUGGGUGAUGGCGUGCCUUUUGUAGAAUGAACCGGCGAGUUACGAUUUGAUGCAAGGUUAAGCAGUAAAUGUGGAGCCGUAGCGAAAGCGAGUCUGAAUAGGGCGUUUAGUAUUUGGUCGUAGACCCGAAACCAGGUGAUCUACCCUUGGUCAGGUUGAAGUUCAGGUAACACUGAAUGGAGGACCGAACCGACUUACGUUGAAAAGUGAGCGGAUGAACUGAGGGUAGCGGAGAAAUUCCAAUCGAACCUGGAGAUAGCUGGUUCUCUCCGAAAUAGCUUUAGGGCUAGCCUCAAGUGAUGAUUAUUGGAGGUAGAGCACUGUUUGGACGAGGGGCCCCUCUCGGGUUACCGAAUUCAGACAAACUCCGAAUGCCAAUUAAUUUAACUUGGGAGUCAGAACAUGGGUGAUAAGGUCCGUGUUCGAAAGGGAAACAGCCCAGACCACCAGCUAAGGUCCCAAAAUAUAUGUUAAGUGGAAAAGGAUGUGGCGUUGCCCAGACAACUAGGAUGUUGGCUUAGAAGCAGCCAUCAUUUAAAGAGUGCGUAAUAGCUCACUAGUCGAGUGACACUGCGCCGAAAAUGUACCGGGGCUAAACAUAUUACCGAAGCUGUGGAUUGUCCUUUGGACAAUGGUAGGAGAGCGUUCUAAGGGCGUUGAAGCAUGAUCGUAAGGACAUGUGGAGCGCUUAGAAGUGAGAAUGCCGGUGUGAGUAGCGAAAGACGGGUGAGAAUCCCGUCCACCGAUUGACUAAGGUUUCCAGAGGAAGGCUCGUCCGCUCUGGGUUAGUCGGGUCCUAAGCUGAGGCCGACAGGCGUAGGCGAUGGAUAACAGGUUGAUAUUCCUGUACCACCUAUAAUCGUUUUAAUCGAUGGGGGG